UUUUUUGUUUGGUUUGUUAUAGGUAUUUUAUAUGUACGAGUAUGCCAUAUGGUUCAAGUUCUGUUGAGUCCUCAGAGUUGUGAAUUAGUUCGCUUUUCAAGUACUUUGCUUCUGAAGUUUCCUUGCUCAGCUUACUGCGUCAACGUCUUCCGGUUACUCUGGAUUGAGUUCCUCUUUUAUGAAGUCAAUGUCUGAUGAGUGUCUAUCUAAUAUUUCCUUUAGUACGAUUGGAGCAUUAAGAGAAAUA